rnacentral:rRNA from 1 species
AGCAGUAGCCACGGUAAUACGUAGGGUGCGAGCGUUAAUCGGAAUUACUGGGCGUAAAGCGUGCGCAGGCGGUUGUGUAAGACAGGUGUGAAAUCCCCGGGCUUAACCUGGGAACUGCGCUUGUGACUGCACAGCUAGAGUAUGGCAGAGGGGGGUGGAAUUCCACGUGUAGCAGUGAAAUGCGUAGAGAUGUGGAGGAACACCGAUGGCGAAGGCAGCCCCCUGGGCCAAUACUGACGCUCAUGCACGAAAGCGUGGGGAGCAAACAGGAUUAGAUACCCCCGUAGUCCCUGUCUCUUAUAC